GUGCUCACUUUGGCAGCACAUCUACUAAAAUUGGAUUGAUACAGAAAAGAUUAGCAUUGCCCCGGAGCAAGGAUGACAUGCAAAUUUGUGAAGCAGUCCAUAUUUUU
rfam:Pteropus alecto contig68896, whole genome shotgun sequence.